UGGAGAUGGAUCUUCUCUGAGCCCGCCGGCGUAAUAAACCUGAGUUCUCCAACUCUCCAAGUGCUUGCUUGGUUUCUCGCAGGUUUUCUGCAUUUUUUUGGCUGACAUUAUGUGGUGUCAAACUAGUGGGACACAGAGCAACCUUCUCCAACCCCUCAGCACUGUCACAUAUUUGAGUUGCAUUUGGAAAUAUUGGUUACAUUACCAAGACUUUGACUGGAGUGUCUUAUUUGAGAAAGAUACACUUUGACUCAAAUGUAAACAGACAGCUUUAAGAACUAAGAUUGCUCCAGUGAUCGGGAGCGUGGGGUUAUUGGAUGCAAACUAUUGCUCUUGGAAUGGAUUUACAGUGAGAUCCUGCUGUGUACCAGAGAACUAUGUCUAUAUAUUUAACAUUACAACACAACAAUGAGAGGAAAAAAUGUGUAUACAUGUAUGUAUAACUUGGUCCCUAUGCUGUACAGAGAAAAAAAAUUUUUUAAGUGAAAGUAUAAGUUUGUACACACAAAACUUAUGUAAUGUAUACAAAAGUUACCUCAAUUAAAAAAUAAAUCUUGAAAAAUGCAAAAAAAAAAAAAAGAACUAAGAUUGACUUUAUGAAAUAAUAAAGACCCUUGGAAAAACAGUCUGGUACCUUGCUUACAGGAUUCCCAGUAGCUUAAACAGCUGAAUAAAGUAAGUCAUUUCCUGGCAGGUAAAGGAAACUCAAAAUAUUUUGUGUACUUCAAGAAGAGAAGAAUUCUUUCAAGUCUAUAAAUAUCGCAGAUAAAAUCUGAUGGUUAGUCCUUUGUUUAUUUUUCUUGGUCUCUAGAGACCUCUAAAAUUUUGAUCUGAGAUUCCUUAUUAAAAGAUUCAGCAAAGCAAAUUUCAAAGAACCUACAUGAUCAGUCACUAUUUUUGUUACACUUAUGUAAAUAAUGAGGCCAAAGUUGCUGACACUAGACUUUUGAUUUUGCUAUAAUUGGUAGAAAUGAGGGUGGUUUUAGAAAGAAAAAUAUGUUUCAGUAAUACAUUUUGUGGGUUUCAGAUGCUAGUGCUAUCAUUUUUCUUUCAGUUUCUGAUGUUUACUCAUAAACUGGAUUAGAUUCUGAAUUCUAUUUUCCUCCAAUAUCUGCCCAUGAAUCUUCAAACUAAUGUUUCCAGUUUUUCUCCCACCCUUUUGACUUGGAAUCAUUGAGAAGUAAAACUGCCUUUUUUUUUUAUAAAAGUAUAUAUACUCUUGCACAACUUGAUAUAAACUUUAGAAAAAUCAUCGUAACAGCUUAUGCAUAGAAAAACUUUGUGCCUGUUGCUAUAUGAGCCACUCAAAAAAUUUACCUAAACUCUAAAUGAUAUCAUCAGACACAUUUUAAACUGCAAAAGAUGCUUCUACCCUGACAUCUAGAAGUCUUAUUUAAUUGUCUGCCUUCUGUAUUUGGUGUCCUAUUGCAAUCCAGAUUAAAGUUGUAAUAAUAUAUAUUUGUAAUAAUAUAUAAAUAAUGUAAUUUUGUUUAUUUCUUUUUUUGUUUUUUAUGCUCUGUAUUUUUCCCUGUUUCUCAGUUACUCAUAAUAUUAAGAUUAUGGUUGCUCAGAGGUUUGAAUAAUUCAGAUAUGUCUUGUAAUUCACACCACAAAUGAAGUGUGGAGAGAAUCCAUCCCCAUUUCAGGUAUGGACAAUGUUUAAAUUCUACUUCCUGGAAACCCCCUUGUUGUUCAAAUGUGACUGUUCCCUUAUGGUCAUGAUCAUUCCUUUUUUGACCUUCAUGGGAAAUAGCACAUAAAGAAUGAGCCUUCUAGGCCCCAAGGGACUCUUCUAUCUAUUAUAAUAUUGACAGAUGAUUGCUAAUCUCAUAUGAUGAUUGAUAUUAGGGUUAUCCAAGGAAAGAUCUCAAUCAAAAAGGGAAAUGUGGACUGUGAACAACAAAAUGGAGUCAGUUAUGUCAAAGGGAUCUAAAACAGAGGCAAGAAGCCAUUAUGAAAGCAGAAUUUGUACAAAUAUGUAUCUGGAUGCAAUAUAAACUUUCGGCCUGGCCAGCCUGAGACCACCUGGAACUUAUUUUCUUUACUCCCUAGAAACCACAGCUUGGCAACCAAUCUCUGCUACCAACAAGUGCCUGAAUGCUUGCUGGUACCAAGUAUAGUUUGGUAAAAAUAACUCAUGGAACUUUUCUGGAAUGUAUUUGUAUGUUGCCUUUAUAAACCUCCAUCAUUUUCUAUUUCCCUGGAAGUAUAUUUGAGUUGUUAUUGAAUUGCUGCCCCUGAAUUGCAAUUCUUAACACUCCAAAUAAAGUAUUUUCUUAUUUGAAGCAUUAUUUCUUUUGACAAAAUCUGUCCAAGAGCAGAGGCAGUUACAAUGAAAAAG